rnacentral:rRNA from 1 species
GGAUGGGGAUGCGUCUGAUUAGCUUGUUGGCGGGGUAACGGCCCACCAAGGCGAUGACGGGUAGCCGGUCUGAGAGGAUGUCCGGCCACACUGGAACUGAGACACGGUCCAGACACCUACGGGUGGCAGCAGUCGAGAAUCAUUCACAAUGGGGGAAACCCUGAUGGUGCGACGCCGCGUGGGGGAAUGAAGGUCUUCGGAUUGUAAACCCCUGUCAUGUGGGAGCAAAUUAAAAAGAUAGUACCACAAGAGGAAGAGACGGCUAACUCUGUGCCAGCAGCCGCGGUAAUACAGAGGUCUCAAGCGUUGUUCGGAAUCACUGGGCGUAAAGCGUGCGUAGGCUGUUUCGUAAGUCGUGUGUGAAAGGCGCGGGCUCAACCCGCGGACGGCGCAUGAUACUGCGAGACUAGAGUAAUGGAGGGGGAACCGGAAUUCUCGGUGUAGCAGUGAAAUGCGUAGAUAUCGAGAGGAACACUCGUGGCGAAGGCGGGUUCCUGGACAUUAACUGACGCUGAGGCACGAAGGCCAGGGGAGCGAAAGGGAUUAGAUACCCCUGUAGUCCUGGCAGUAAACGGUGCACGCUUGGAGUGGGGGGAAUCUACCCCCGUGCUGCUGGAGCUAAUGAGUUAAGCGUGCCGCUGGGGGAGUACGGUCGGCAAGAUCAAAACUCAAAGAUAUUGACGGGGACCUGCCCAAGCGGUGGAGUUUGUGGCUUAAUUCGAUGCAACGCGAAGAACCUUACCUGGGCUUGACAUGUAAUGCACAACAUGGUAAAGCAUGUGACUCUUCGGAGGCGUUACACAGAAUACAGCAUGGCCGUCGUCAGCUCGUGUCGUGAGAUGUUUGGUUAAGUCCAGCAACGAGCGCAACCCCUGUUGCCAGUUACCAGCACGUGAAGGUGGGGACUCUGGCGAGACUGCCCAGAUCAACUGGGAGGAAGGUGGGGACGACGUCAGGUCAGUAUGGCCCUCAUGCCCAGGGCUGCACACGUACUACAAUGCCCAGUACAGAGGGGGCCGAAGCCGCGAGGCGGAGGAAAUCCUAAAAACUGGGCCCAGUUCGGACUGUAGGCUGCAACCCGCCUACACGAAGCCGGAAUCGCUAGUAAUGGCGCAUCAGCUACGGCGCCGUGAAUACGUUCCCGGGUCUUGCACUCACCGCCCGUCA